rnacentral:tRNA from 1 species
GGUUGUGGCUCAGUGGUAGAGCACUCACCUGGCAUAUGUGAGGCCCUGGAUUCAAUCCUCAGCACCA